GAAGGACUCCUCGACCCUGAAGAGCUCCUCUAGCAAUUCCGAUGUGAAAAGAAGAUGGAUGGAGAAGCACUGAUUCAGCCAUGGCUGACAUGUCGGAGUUGGAAUGGACAGUGCCCGGACCUCACAGUCUCAGAGAACUGGAGAAGAGUAAAGCUGAAGAGGGCAUCAUCUGGUUACAAAUGACAAGUCCAGGGCUCCAGGUGAGUGCUUUGUGUAAGAGGAGACUGCUGCGUGGUGAUACGAUUAAAACUCAUGUCCCCCACCUCCUGGUUCCAUGUCGCACAUGGUGCCCAUGACACUCUUUUUGUUUUGAGACAGAGUCUCGCUCUUUCGCCCAGGCCGGACUGCAGUGGCGCGAUCUCGGCUCACUGCAAGCUCCGCCUUCCUGGUUCACACCAUUCUCCUGCCUCG
rnacentral:lncRNA from 1 species